rnacentral:tRNA from 1 species
UGGGGGGUCGUCUAAUGGUAGGACAGUGGCCUUUGAAGCCAUGAAUCGGGGUUCGAAUCCCUGCCCCCCAG